GACGAACGCUGGCGGCGUGCUUAACACAUGCAAGUCGAACGGAAAGGUCCUGCUCUUGUGGCGUGCUCGAGUGGCGAACGGGUGAGUAACACGUGAGUAACCUGCCCUUGACUUUGGGAUAACUUCUGGAAACAGGGGCUCAUACCCGGUAGGAUCUCCUGCUGCAUGUUGGUGGUUGGAAAGUUUCGGCGGUUGGGGAUGGACUCGAUGGUUAUCAGCUUGUUGGUGGGGUAGUGGCUUACCAAGGCUUUGACGGGUAGCCGGCCUAGGAGGGUUACCGGCCACAUUGGGACUGAGAUACGGACCAGACUCCUACGGGAGGCAGCAGUGGGGAAUAUUGCACAAUGGGCGGAAGCCUGAUGCAGCAACGCCGCGUGCGGGAUGACGGCCUUCGGGUUGUAAACCGCUUUCGCCUGUGACGAAGAGUGAGUGACGGUAAUGAGUAAAGAAGCACCGGCUAACUACGUG
rnacentral:rRNA from 1 species